rnacentral:rRNA from 1 species
AUGAACGCUGGCGGCGUGCCUAAUACAUGCAAGUCGAGCGAGCAGAUGAGGAGCUUGCUCCUCUGACGUUAGCGGCGGACGGGUGAGUAACACGUGGAUAACCUACCUGUAAGACUGGGAUAACUUCGGGAAACCGGAGCUAAUACCGGAUAAUAUAUUGAACCGCAUGGUUCAAUAGUGAAAGACGGUUUUGCUGUCACUUAUAGAUGGAUCCGCGCCGCAUUAGCUAGUUGGUAAGGUAACGGCUUACCAAGGCAACGAUGCGUAGCCGACCUGAGAGGGUGAUCGGCCACACUGGAACUGAGACACGGUCCAGACUCCUACGGGAGGCAGCAGUAGGGAAUCUUCCGCAAUGGGCGAAAGCCUGACGGAGCAACGCCGCGUGAGUGAUGAAGGUCUUCGGAUCGUAAAACUCUGUUAUUAGGGAAGAACAAAUGUGUAAGUAACUAUGCACGUCUUGACGGUACCUAAUCAGAAAGCCACGGCUAACCACGUG